GUUGUAUGGUUAAGUGACUAAGCGUACACGGUGGAUGCCUUGGCAGUCAGAGGCGAUGAAAGACGUAGUAACUUGCGAUAAGCCCAGAUUAGGUAGUAACAACCAUUUGAGUCUGGGAUUUCUGAAUGGGGAAACCCACGUGCAUAAGCACGUAUCCUUACCUGAAUACAUAGGGUAAGGAGGCGAACCGGGGGAACUGAAACAUCUAAGUACCCCGAGGAAAAGAAAUCAACCGAGAUUCCGAAAGUAGCGGCGAGCGAAAUUGGACUAGCCCUUAAGCUUUACACGCGUUAGACGAACGGUCUGGAAAGUCCGACGAUACAGGGUGAUAGUCCCGUAGUUGACGAUGUGUGUUCAGUGAAAUCGAGUAGGGCGGGACACGUGAUAUCCUGUCUGAAUAUGGGGGGACCAUCCUCCAAGGCUAAAUACUACUGACUGACCGAUAGUGAACCAGUACCGUGAGGGAAAGGCGAAAAGAACCCCUGUGAGGGGAGUGAAAUAGAACCUGAAACCGUGUACGUACAAGCAGUAGGAGCAGGCUUGUCCUGUGACUGCGUACCUUUUGUAUAAUGGGUCAGCGACUUAUAUUCAGUGGCAAGGUUAACCAUCUAGGGGAGCCGUAGGGAAACCGAGUCUUAACUGGGCGUUCAGUCUCUGGAUAUAGACCCGAAACCAGGUGAUCUAGCCAUGGGCAGGUUGAAGGUUGAGUAACAUCAACUGGAGGACCGAACCGACUAAUGUUGAAAAAUUAGCGGAUGACUUGUGGCUAGGGGUGAAAGGCCAAUCAAACCUGGAGAUAGCUGGUUCUCCCCGAAAGCUAUUUAGGUAGCGCCUCGGACGAAUACUACUGGGGGUAGAGCACUGUUAAGGCUAGGGGGUCAUCCCGACUUACCAACCCUUUGCAAACUCCGAAUACCAGUAAGUACUAUCCGGGAGACACACGGCGGGUGCUAACGUCCGUCGUGGAGAGGGAAACAACCCAGACCGCCAGCUAAGGUCCCAAAUUACUACUAAGUGGGAAACGAUGUGGGAAGGCUCAGACAGCCAGGAUGUUGGCUUAGAAGCAGCCAUCAUUUAAAGAAAGCGUAAUAGCUCACUGGUCGAGUCGGCCUGCGCGGAAGAUGUAACGGGGCUAAGUAGUAAACCGAAGCUGCGGCAAUAUACUUUUGUAUAUUGGGUAGGGGAGCGUUCUGUAAGCGGUUGAAGGUGUGUGGUAACGCAUGCUGGACGUAUCAGAAGUGCGAAUGCUGACAUGAGUAACGAUAAAGGGGGUGAAAAACCUCCUCGCCGGAAGACCAAGGGUUCCUGUCCAACGUUAAUCGGGGCAGGGUAAGUCGACCCCUAAGGCGAGGCCGAAAGGCGUAGUCGAUGGGAAACGGGUUAAUAUUCCCGUACUUCUUACAAUUGCGAUGGGGGGACGGAGAAGGCUAGGUGGGCCUGGCGACGGUUGUCCAGGUUCAAGUGCGUAGGCUGAGAGAUUAGGUAAAUCCGGUUUCUCUUAAGGCUGAGACACGACGUCGAGCACCUACGGGUGUGAAGUCAUUGAUGCCAUGCUUCCAGGAAAAGCCUCUAAGCUUCAGAUUGUAAGGAAUCGUACCCCAAACCGACACAGGUGGUCGGGUAGAGAAUACCAAGGCGCUUGAGAGAACUCGGGUGAAGGAACUAGGCAAAAUGGUACCGUAACUUCGGGAGAAGGUACGCUCUUGAUGGUGAAGUCCCUCGCGGAUGGAGCUGACGAGAGUCGCAGAUACCAGGUGGCUGCAACUGUUUAUUAAAAACACAGCACUGUGCAAAAUCGUAAGAUGACGUAUACGGUGUGACGCCUGCCCGGUGCCGGAAGGUUAAUUGAUGGGGUUAGACUUCGGUCGAAGCUCUUGAUCGAAGCCCCGGUAAACGGCGGCCGUAACUAUAACGGUCCUAAGGUAGCGAAAUUCCUUGUCGGGUAAGUUCCGACCUGCACGAAUGGCGUAAUGAUGGCCACGCUGUCUCCACCCGAGACUCAGUGAAAUUGAAAUCGCUGUGAAGAUGCAGUGUACCCGCGGCUAGACGGAAAGACCCCGUGAACCUUUACUACAGCUUGGCACUGAACAUUGACCCUACAUGUGUAGGAUAGGUGGGAGGCUUUGAAGCACGUACGCCAGUAUGUGUGGAGCCGUCCUUGAAAUACCACCCUUGUAGUGUUGAUGUUCUAACGUCGACCCCUAAUCGGGGUUGCGGACAGUGCCUGGUGGGUAGUUUGACUGGGGCGGUCUCCUCCCAAAGAGUAACGGAGGAGCACGAAGGUGGGCUAAUCACGGUUGGACAUCGUGAGGUUAGUGCAAUGGCAUAAGCCCGCUUGACUGCGAGAAUGACAAUUCGAGCAGGUGCGAAAGCAGGUCAUAGUGAUCCGGUGGUUCUGAAUGGAAGGGCCAUCGCUCAACGGAUAAAAGGUACUCCGGGGAUAACAGGCUGAUACCGCCCAAGAGUUCAUAUCGACGGCGGUGUUUGGCACCUCGAUGUCGGCUCAUCACAUCCUGGGGCUGAAGUCGGUCCCAAGGGUAUGGCUGUUCGCCAUUUAAAGUGGUACGCGAGCUGGGUUUAGAACGUCGUGAGACAGUUCGGUCCCUAUCUGCCGUGGGCGUUGGAAGAUUGAAGGGGGCUGCUCCUAGUACGAGAGGACCGGAGUGGACGAACCUCUGGUGUUCGGGUUGUGUCGCCAGACGCAUUGCCCGGUAGCUAAGUUCGGAAUCGAUAACCGCUGAAAGCAUCUAAGCGGGAAGCGAGCCCUGAGAUGAGUCUUCCCUGAUACUUUAAGUAUCCUAAAGGGUUGUCGGAGACUACGACGUUGAUAGGUCAGGUGUGUAAGUGCUGUGAGGCAUUGAGCUAACUGAUACUAAUUGCCCGUGAGGCUUAACCAUACAACACCCAAGGGGUUU
rnacentral:rRNA from 1 species